UACGUAGGGGGCUAGCGUUAUCCGGAAUUACUGGGCGUAAAGGGUGCGUAGGUGGUUUCUUAAGUCAGAGGUGAAAGGCUACGGCUCAACCGUAGUAAGCUUUUGAAACUGUAAGACUUGAGUGCAGGAGAGGAGAGUGGAAUUCCUAGUGUAGCGGUGAAAUGCGUAGAUAUUAGGAGGAACACCAGUUGCGAAGGCGGCUCUCUGGACUGUAACUGACGCUGAGGCACGAAAGCGUGGGGAGCAAACAGGAUUAGAUACCCUGGUAGUCCCUGA
rnacentral:rRNA from 1 species